rnacentral:lncRNA from 1 species
AUAUAUUUUAUUGUAACAGUUUUGGCCGUUGUGAUAAUGCAAAUUCUAUUGUCUAGUCAUUUAUUAUCAUAACAAUUAGGGAUGCAAACGGGGCGGAUCUGGGGCGGGAGCCCCGCCCCGCCUCCCAUCCCGACUACAAAAGCUCCGCCCGACCUCCCGCCCCGAAUUCGUGACGGGUUAAAAAAUAUAUCCCAUAAUCUGUCCCACCUCGUACCCCGCCAACUAAUAUUUUUUAUAAAAUUAUAAUAUUAUUAAUAUUUUAUAAAAUAUAAAAUAAUAAUUUUUAAUAAUAUUAUAUAUAUAAUUUAACAAUAUCAGUUAUAAAAAUAAAAAAUAUCAAUCACAAUUCAAAAUAAAAUUCAAAAGUUUCAAAUACAGAAGAGAGUACUAAGACUUAGUUUGGGAUUGAGGUCUAUUUAACGCUAUUAGAUAAAAUGGAGUUGAGGAAAAAGCAUAUAAGGGUAUGCUCGGAACGCAAUAUUACGUACGGAAACAAACAUAAUAUUUUUCCAACGUACUUUCUCACCGCACGUAACGCAAUCUCCCCGCAAUCCCAAACGAAGCCUAACUUAUUUGUAUUUUGAACUUUUUUUUGUAAAUACAUUAUUUUUUAAGAAUACUUUUUAAAAAUAUAAAUAAUUUUCGGGGUGGAUUCGGAGCGGGUCAUGACGGGACGGAUUCGGGACGGGUCAAAAUUUCUUCCGUUUUCUACUCCGAAUCCGUCUCGGAUCGUAAAAUUUACCCCGUUUUUCUCUCUGAAUUUGUUUAUUUUCUCCCAUUUACUAUCCUCGUUGGG